rnacentral:rRNA from 1 species
CUAGGCUGAUGGCGACCGGCGCACGGGUGCGUAACGCGCUAUGCAACUUGCCUCACAGAGGGGGAUAACCCGUCGAAAGACGGACUAAUACCGCGUACACUCCAUCUUGGGCAUCCAAGGUAGAGGAAAUGAAAUUCGCUGUGAGAUAGGCAUGCGUCCCAUUAGCUAGUUGGUGAGGUAACGGCUCACCAAGGCGACGAUGGGUAGGGGAACUGAGAGGUUGAACCCCCACACUGGUACUGAGACACGGACCAGACUCCUACGGGAGGCAGCAGUGAGGAAUAUUGGUCAAUGGGCGAGAGCCUGAACCAGCCAAGUCGCGUGAAGGAUGACUGUCUUAUGGAUUGUAAACUUCUUUUAUACGGGAAUAACAAGAGUCACGUGUGACUCCCUGCAUGUACCGUAUGAAUAAGCAUCGGCUAACUCCGUGCCAGCAGCCGCGGUAAUACGGAGGAUGCGAGCGUUAUCCGGAUUUAUUGGGUUUAAAGGGUGCGUAGGCGGCCUGUUAAGUCAGCGGUGAAAUCUAGGAGCUUAACUCCUAAAUUGCCAUUGAUACUGGCGGGCUUGAGUGUAGAUGAGGUAGGCGGGAAUGCGUGUGUA